UUUUCAUGCCUAGCGGUGCGGCUCGGCUCCUACCUGGCGUAUUUGCACUCGAGACGAAUCCCUUUGCUGGGCUAGUCGAGACGUGUUUUUCGUCGGGCGGUGCUGGGUUUAGCUAACGUGACGGCGUAUGAGUGGUGAUUGGGUUGUAUCCGACGGCAGGCUCCGUGCUUCGGCAUCGAACUGUCGGCUCGUACCCCGCUUCAGUGAUGCGUCAAAGAUCYGUCUUGCGCGCAAGAUGGGUUUCUGUUCUGGCUACCUAUCGCGAAGGAAUGCUGCCUAUCGUCGUCCCUUUCCUCCUCUCGCCGGCCUUGUCGGCGGGAGGACGACAUCGUGGCGGUGCUCGUGUCCCGGACAAGCCGCACUCGUUGCGAUGCAGUUUCGGCGCUCGAGUCUCCGCUCGACAUCUCGGAUGCGGAACGCUAAAGGGGGCGGUGGGUCUUUACGGCCUCCGAUCGUCCGCUCGAAGCCUUGUCGCUUGACGCGUACGACUGCCGUGCCCGUCGCGGGACGGCGACCGUCAAGGUCGUCCGUCCGGCGCGGCGCCGGCGUCGAAGAGGAAUGC
rnacentral:misc_RNA from 1 species